rnacentral:tRNA from 1 species
CGUUGCGCAGCAGGAGGUGCGUCGUGGCGUUGCUCAUGGCGACGCGGUGGGCGGGGAAUCCGAACUCCCCCGCGAUGUC